GACGAACGCUGGCGGCGUGCUUAACACAUGCAAGUCGAACGAAGUGGCGAACGGGUGAGUAAUACGUGGGUAACCUGCCCUCCUUUUUGGGAUAAGCCUUGGCAACGGGGUCUAAUACCGAAUAAAGGGGGAUGGGCUCGCGGCCUAUCAGCUUGUUGGUGGGGUGAUGGCCUACCAAGGCGGUGACGGGUAGCCGGCCUGAGAGGGUGACCGGCCACAUUGGGACUUAGAUACGGCGCAGACUCCCAAGGUAGGCAGUAGUUGGGGAUAUUGCACAGUGAGCUGAGUCCAAGUGCAGGGACGUUGCGUGGGGGAUGAGGGCUUUCGGGUUGUAGACCUCUUUAGCGAUCGAACGGCUAGGUGGCAGAGAAACACGGCCAACCUGCGUGCCACCACCGCGGGAAUAC
rnacentral:rRNA from 1 species